rnacentral:lncRNA from 1 species
AAAGGUGGAACAAGAUUAUCUACACACAAGUCAAAAGUACACAGAAACAAGAGUAAGUUUUUAAAACAUGUAAUCCUGAAGACACAUACCACCCAAAACUCAUUAUGGUCACUGAAAUGCUUUAUCUAUUUUUGUGGGCAGUCACAGUGGUGGAGCUUAAAUGAUGAGAGAUACCGCGCUGUCAAUAGCUGUUACUGGGCUGCAAACUUCAUUAACCGCUGCAACAAGCUGGUAGAGCAAUUGCAGAAGGCUCUUGACAAGCUACCUAAAGGAGAAACAACCGAAGAAACCAUUGAUCAUGUAAAUGCUCAAUAUCAUUAUGAGAACCAGCUCAAUAUAUAGAGCAAUUCUAUAUCAUAUUUAACAUAACCCUUAAACUUUAUCUGCAUGUUUAGAGCCUGCAGUUCUCGUUACUCCAGCAGAAAGCACAAUUUCAAGAGCUAGACUAUCAUGGAAAAUGCGAAUUCAGAGAAUUUAGCAGAGAGGUACUAUUACUAGUGUUAAGCUUAAAUCCACCUCAAGAUUCAUCAAAGUUUAUUUACUAGAACCAUUCUGAAAUUUUCACUUACCAUAUAAAUAGCUAGACUGCAUUCGGAAAAAAAUGCCUAGGAGUGACCGCAGAAAAGCUGCACAUGAUCUCCUAAAAGAUGUUUGUAACCCCACUAGUCAUGACAGUUUGAGAAAAUCUGUGGAGCUGGAAAUAAAAGUAAGAUCUCUCAUCUUCUUUCAUUUGAGCACUAGUCUAUCUUACUUUAAACUAACCAAUGGGAUGAUGUUUGCAAAUUAACUAGGCUUUGAAGAAGCUGAUCAGAGAGCUUCAAAAAGACUGGGAAGAAAAACAACAUGUAAAGCAAUAUACAAAGAAUAAAUAUAAAGAUCUCGAACAAAAGGUGAAGCAUCUAGAGAAGAAAAAGGAACAACUUGCGGGACUGCGGGACGAAGAAAGAAAAAUCAUGUUCGGGACGAAGAAAACGCAUGAUAGGAAGAUAGGUACAUACCCUGAGGCUUAUUAUAUCAAAAUGUUGAAUGAUAAAUUACCAUGAUGAGUUGUAAUGAAUUAAUUUGGGGAUUGAUCAAAGCAUUAAUGUUCCUUCAAACAAAGAAAGGCAUAGCAAUCUCCAGUUAUUUCGUCAUUCAAGUGAUUAUAAGGAAAAGGUUUCAUAAGAAGUUAAUUUCCAGAAUUAAAUCUCUCAUAUUGAAACUCCCACAAUGAACAGCAAAUUCAAGUCAAAAAGCCUUUUAGCAUCAGACUAAAGUAUUGAGACUAAAUUAGUGAAGUUAGAACCAAGCCAAAAUGGAUAAUUUAAUUUAAUACAUACAAACCUAAUCAAUGAUCCAGUGACUAAUAAUCUAACAUAAAGACAAUUAGCAAAAGUGUUUUUCUUUCCAAGAAGGUAAACUUCCACGAAACAACGGAACAAAAACUAUCCCUUGUUCCCUAAGCUUGAGUGCUUGACCCAAAACAUUUCAAGUCAUUUCUCAAUAUAAAACAAUAAAACUGAAGAACUCAAAACCAAAGAAACGUCAUAAAUAUCACAGAACCAGCUUAAGCCUCAAAGUCACUAACCUUUUGAAUGGCGGCAUCAUCAUCAUCUUCUUCUCAAGUCAAAUUCAUAGAAAAAGCUCUUCUCGCCACCGGCUCCUUCGCUCUAUCAUACACAGAUCCUGAUCAAAAAUGGCUCAUCAGAAAGCACCUAACUUCACUCCUCCAAGAUUAUCCAAACUUCGAACUCUCAACCGAUACUUUCAACCACAACAACGGAGCCAAAGUUCAACUCUUUUGCCUUGAAGGAUCUCUACGUAUUCGAAGCUCCACUACACAACUCCCAACCGUACAAUUAACCAUUUGGAUUCACGAAAACUACCCAUUAACCCCUCCUCUAGUGUUUAUAAACCCCAAUUCAAUCCCAAUUCGCAACAACCACCCAUUCAUCAAUUCUUCAGGAUACACAAAGUCUAGAUACAUCGAAACAUGGGAACACCCACGAUGCAAUUUACUCGAUUUCAUUCGAAACCUCAAGAAAGUUCUCGCUAAUGAUCACCCAUUUCUACACACUGAUUCAUUAAUCCCUACUCGGAAUCAAUCCGUUUCCAGAACCGAAGCCUUAGAUCGAUUAGCCACGAGUCUCCACUACGACGUUCUAACAAUCAUGGAGAGAUCAGAGGAAGAGAUUGAAAACCUAUGGAAGCUUCAAUCAGAGGUGAAGCAAAGAUCUGAAUCGGUUAAAUCAAUCAUCACUG